rnacentral:rRNA from 1 species
GACGAACGCUGGCGGCGUGCUUAACACAUGCAAGUCGAGCGGUAAGGCCCCUUUGGGGGUACACGAGCGGCGAACGGGUGAGUAACACGUGGGUGACCUGCCCUCAGCUCUGGGAUAAGCCUGGGAAACUGGGUCUAAUACCGGAUAUGACUCCAUGACGCAUGUUGUGGGGUGGAAAGCCUUGUGCGGCUGGGGAUGGGCCCGCGGCCUAUCAGCUUGUUGGUGGGGGAUGGCCUACCAAGGCGACGACGGGUAGCCGGCCUGAGAGGGCGACCGGCCACACUGGGACUGAGACACGGCCCAGACUCCUACGGGAGGCAGCAGUGGGGAAUCUUGCGCAAUGGGCGAAAGCCUGACGCAGCGACGCCGCGUGAGGGAUGACGGCCUGGUUGUAACUACUUC